rnacentral:rRNA from 1 species
GUCUAUACUGCAUGUCGAGCGAUGGAUUAAGAGCUUGCUCUUAUGAAGUUAGCGGCGGACGGGUGAGUAACACGUGGGUAACCUGCCCAUAAGACUGGGAUAACUCCGGGAAACCGGGGCUAAUACCGGAUAACAUUUUGAACCGCAUGGUUCGAAAUUGAAAGGCGGCUUCGGCUGUCACUUAUGGAUGGACCCGCGUCGCAUUAGCUAGUUGGUGAGGUAACGGCUCACCAAGGCAACGAUGCGUAGCCGACCUGAGAGGGUGAUCGGCCACACUGGGACUGAGACACGGCCCAGACUCCUACGGGAGGCAGCAGUAGGGAAUCUUCCGCAAUGGACGAAAGUCUGACGGAGCAACGCCGCGUGAGUGAUGAAGGCUUUCGGGUCGUAAAACUCUGUUGUUAGGGAAGAACAAGUGCUAGUUGAAUAAGCUGGCACCUUGACGGUACCUAACCAGAAAGCCACGGCUAACUACGUGCCAGCAGCCGCGGUAAUACGUAGGUGGCAAGCGUUAUCCGGAAUUAUUGGGCGUAAAGCGCGCGCAGGUGGUUUCUUAAGUCUGAUGUGAAAGCCCACGGCUCAACCGUGGAGGGUCAUUGCAAACUGGGAGACUUGAGUGCAGAAGACGAAAGUGGAAUUCCAUGUGUAGCGGUGAAAUGCGUAGAGAUAUGGAGGAACACCAGUGGCGAAUGCGACUUUUCUGCUCUGUAACUGACACUGAGGCGCGAAAGCCUGGGGAGCAAA